GAGGGAAGGGAGAUUGGCUGGAGACCUGGGGCCUCAAAGAAUAACACAGUGGUGAGUUUCCUUGGUUUUCUUUUUGCCUCACGUAUCCCAGGCUGGAAACUGAAGAAGAUGGCAACCUGGAAAUACCAAUAGACACAGACAAAAAGAAGCCCCAGCAAAAGCCUGCUCUCUCUAGCCAAAGGACCGGGAAAGGAGCACAAAUGACAUUUGGCUUCAAAACAUUAUAUCACUCCCACCAGCCCACUUUGCAGCUGGGUUUCCUGUAGAAUCUGUUUCAUAAAUGGAAUUCCAAGCUCACCAAAAUGGGCUCUACAUUAUUAUUCAACCAGUGGAAUUUUAGCCUCGUCAUAUCUUGGAGUGGAACAUGGAUUGAAUAUCAGUUGUAGAAAGAUUACAGUGACUUGGGAUCCAUUGUUUAACACAGCUUGACACAGCUCUUUAUCAAACUUCCUUGGAUCUUCACUUCUGGUCCCGUCAUCUUUGAAGUAUCACCAAGCAUGGUAGCAAGGGGAAGGGAAUUCUGGAGCAUCUCAUACUAGCAUUGAAAUGUUUUGGUUCUACUCCCAUUUACAACUUGUUGGCCUGAAUUACUCACCUGACCCCCUGCAAGUACAAUCUGACCAAGAUGAAACCCUGAGACUUAACGUCACAAGGUCCUGAAAGCACCUACCUGUCUGAGGAAGUCUACCGCCCCUAUUAACUGGGAGACUUUGCCUACAUAAAGGUAUUCUCCAGGGAAGCUGGGCUGUCGUCACACUGGGAGAGACCUUUCAAGCGCUGCUGAUCAUCCACGUGGCUAUCAAAGUGAAAACAAAAUCCAGCUGGAUUUGCGCUUCCCAUGGGACCCCAACUUCUGAGGAGGACUCGACUGUGGUUCCAAAAAAAAGGUCUUAAAACUUAAAAUUCGGUACAGAAUACAAUGGAAAGGAAGUAUUCUAGCAAACUCAUUACUAUUCUCUUGGACCGUGUUGCUGUCCUAUUCACAGUAACAUUAUUUCAAUUACUCUAAGAAUCACAUUUUAUUAGAAAACAACAUACUAUUUGUUAAAAUUUGGAAUUGUGCUACUUGAAAUUGUUUAAUGCUGGGGGAGGAAAAACCCCACAAAGCUUUCAGAGGCACUCACUUGUAUAAUUCAGCUGAAAUUAGUUAUAAAACAGCUCUAAGAUAACAGUUCAGAAUUACAGAAUUCUUCAUUAAUAUUUAAGGAAAUAAUUAUGUACGUAUACUGAGAGAGACAAGAAUGGCAUAGAAAA
rnacentral:lncRNA from 1 species